rnacentral:lncRNA from 1 species
GAACACUUAAAUUCUCCUUUAGCUAUUUUUUUUAAAAUAAAUUUCUCAUCUAAAACAAAUGCUUUUGAUUGAUUUUCGCUCAGCUGUCAACUGAUGCCUCGAUUUUUCAAAGCUGCUAAGAAUGUUCCUUGGAAAAUGUUGCAUAAGUGGUAAUAAAAUGUGUCCUUGCCCCAGCUGCCCCCGCACCCGAAACUAGAGUCGAGUCUCGUUAACUGCGUCGACAAUUUGCGAGUUUCGAACCCUUGCCCCGGGCAUCCAUCAGGCCAAGUGUCGGGCUGUCAUAUAAAAGGCCUGGAAAUGAGAGAGCAGCAAAUCUGCGGGGCUCAAGGAAUUUAUGCAUUUCGUAGGGUCCUUCCCGGGACACUGCCUGGCCGCACGCAUAACUUUCAAUUUUCCUUUAAGCCUUGGUUUUUCGGGGGCCGGGCCACCAAAGGACUUUGUUGUCCUCAUAAGCCCAUUGAUUAAUUUGAAAUUUAUGAUGCGCCUGCGGAUCGCAGGGCAUCCAUAACUUUUGCUCUGCGGUUGGCAGCACCCAGCAGCACCCCGCGCCCUGCUGCUUCCUGGAAUGUGUUCUCAUCUUUCACUCUCUCACGGCUCAUGUACAUUUUAAUUAAACGUCGCAGCACCGGAAGAAGAACACCAAAAGCAGCAGCAACAACAAAAACACUUGACAACUUCACGUUAAUCCUGGCCGCAGGAGCUGCCUGCACAGGGUCCCUCUGCUGGCCUCGAUUCCUGCCUAUUUUUCGGUGCUGCCCAUAAUCAUAAACAUCGAGCCGACAUUUCGGCAGCGGAAUGACGGGGGAAGGGCUGAUUGGAAUGAUGCACGGAGAGAAAUUCAAUGAAAAUGGGAGAAAAACUUAAAAAAAAAAAAUAAAAUUAAUCAUAAAUGUAAAAAUAU